GUACCAGAAGGACCAUCUCUUCAACAGCAACCCUAGCUGGGACUAUGGAGCCUUCAGGCGGCUGGAAUACCUGAUGAGACACACACACUUUAACUCCUCCAGGUAUACACACACACACUCACACACACUUUAACUCCUCCAGGUACACACACACACACACACUUGAACUCCUCCAGGUAGACUACAGUAUCUAAUGACAUACACACACACACACACACACACACACAUACACACACACACACUUUAACUCCUCCAGGUAGACUACCGUACCUAAUCACACACA
ensembl:lncRNA